UACGUAGGUGGCAAGCGUUAUCCGGAAUUAUUGGGCGUAAAGCGCGCGCAGGUGGUUUCUUAAGUCUGAUGUGAAAGCCCACGGCUCAACCGUGGAGGGUCAUUGGAAACUGGGAGACUUGAGUGCAGAAGAGGAAAGUGGAAUUCCAUGUGUAGCGGUGAAAUGCGUAGAGAUAUGGAGGAACACCAGUGGCGAAGGCGACUUUUUGGUCUGUAACUGACACUGAGGCGCGAAAGCGUGGGGAGCAAACAGGAUUAGAUACCCUUGUAGUCC
rnacentral:rRNA from 1 species